AUGUAGUUCAGUGGGUAGAGUUCGUGCUUGGCAUGCAUGAGGCUCUAGGUUCAAUUCCCAGCAU
rnacentral:tRNA from 1 species